UCCUCCCUCCCUCCCACCCUCCAGCUGUCCCCAAGCCUACCACCCUCGACAUCAGAACUAGUCACUAUUGGAAACAAAAAUUCUACAAAUAUAAAGCAUAGGAGACCCAAAAAAAAAAAAAAAAAAAAAAAUCCGACUUUCUUCUUCCUCUUCCUCCAAUCUCUGAACCAUGGAUGGCUACAGCAGAUCAAGAUCCUCCAGUGAUGGCAGGAACAUGCAGAUUGAAGUCUAUGGCUCCACCAACAGGAGAGGAGGAGGCCCAGCCCCUUCUUAUGAUUUCAGGAGCUAUAGCACUUCUUAUGCUUCUUCCUCCUCCUCUGUUUACAACAACAACAACUAUGGGAUGCAACCCCCAAGAGAGUUAAAGAUGAAGAAAGCAAAGAGCACUUCUAGUGGCUGGAAUCUUAACGACCCAGAGCUCCAGAGGAAGAAGAGGGUUGCUAGCUACAAGGUUUAUUCUGUUGAGGGAAAGGUCAAGGGGUCUUUUAAGAAGAGCUUCAGGUGGCUUAAGGAUAGAUACACCCAGGUUGUCUAUGGAUGGUGGUGAUUAAAGAUUUGGUCUUUCUGAUUUGAUCUUGACUUUGGCUGUGAGCGAGUAAAGUUAAGCUAUCAGAAUGUUGCUUUAUUUGGAAAUGCUGAAGCUACUACAGUCUACAGCGCUAUGCGCUGUGGUCUAUCGAGCUAUUUGUUGUCAUGGUAACUCCACAAUGUGAUGAAUUGAAAGGCUAUUUUCGGAAUAUACUUAUUUGCGAGAAUACUUGUGUAUUUACGAUGGACUUGUGCUUACAGGCUGUGAAUCAUGUAUUUUAUCAAACUCUAGACCCGUUCUAAGCUGAUCAUAUUACAUGUGUACUGGACAUUGUUGGAAUAUAAUUGUGAUAAAUCGUUCCUGCACGCUGCAGAAUGCUUCCUUGCCUCUUUUUUUCAUCCUUUAGCAGUUCUUUUUUGCAUUGUCAUGAAACAGCUAGAUUUCUGAUGCGUACUUUUGAUGACAUAAACGGAGAACUUCAGGAUAUGGUAUAUCUGUAUUUGAGUGUUCUU